rnacentral:rRNA from 1 species
AACGAACGCUGGCGGCAUGCCUAACACAUGCAAGUCGAACGAGACCUUCGGGUCUAGUGGCGCACGGGUGCGUAACGCGUGGGAAUCUGCCCUUCGGUUCGGAACAACAGUUAGAAAUGACUGCUAAUACCGGAUAAUGACGUAAGUCCAAAGAUUUAUCGCCGAAGGAUGAGCCCGCGUAAGAUUAGGUAGUUGGUGGGGUAAUGGCCUACCAAGCCGACGAUCUUUAGCUGGUCUGAGAGGAUGAUCAGCCACACUGGGACUGAGACACGGCCCAGACUCCUACGGGAGGCAGCAGUGGGGAAUAUUGGACAAUGGGCGAAAGCCUGAUCCAGCAAUGCCGCGUGAGUGAUGAAGGCCUUAGGGUUGUAAAGCUCUUUUACCAGGGAUGAUAAUGACAGUACCUGGAGAAUAAGCUCCGGCUAACUCCGUGCCAGCAGCCGCGGU